UACGGAGGGGGCUAGCGUUGUUCGGAAUUACUGGGCGUAAAGCGCGCGUAGGCGGACCUGCAAGUCGGGGGUGAAAGCCCGAGGCUCAACCUCGGAACUGCCUUCGAUACUGCGGGUCUCGAGUCCGGGAGAGGUGAGUGGAAUUCCUAGUGUAGAGGUGAAAUUCGUAGAUAUUAGGAAGAACACCAGUGGCGAAGGCGGCUCACUGGCCCGGUACUGACGCUGAGGCGCGAAAGCGUGGGGAGCGAACAGG
rnacentral:rRNA from 1 species